GCCUACGGGGCGCAGCAGUGAGGAAUAUUGGACAAUGGGCGCAAGCCUGAUCCAGCCAUGCCGCGUGCAGGAUGACGGUCCUAUGGAUUGUAAACUGCUUUUAUACGGGAAGAAACCCUCGGACGUGUCCGAGAUUGACGGUACCGUAGGAAUAAGGAUCGGCUAACUCCGUGCCAGCAGCCGCGGUAAUACGGAGGAUCCAAGCGUUAUCCGGAAUCAUUGGGUUUAAAGGGUCCGUAGGCGGUUUGGUAAGUCAGUGGUGAAAGCCCAUCGCUCAACGGUGGAACGGCCAUUGAUACUGCCAGACUUGAAUUACUAGGUAGUGACUAGAAUAUGUAGUGUAGCGGUGAAAUGCUUAGAUAUUACAUGGAAUACCAAUUGCGAAGGCAGGUUACUACUGGUGGAUUGACGCUGAUGGACGAAAGCGUGGGUAGCGAACAGGAUUAGAUACCCCUGUAGUC
rnacentral:rRNA from 1 species